UGGAAAGGUCUCGGGGACAUGGCGAUAGUAUGGCUAACCAAGCUUUUCAACCUCAUUUUUCGGGCAAACAAGAUGCCAGAAGAAUGGAGACGGAGUAUAUUAGUACCAAUCUUCAAGAACAAGGGGGAUGUUCAGAGUUGUACUAAUUACCGUGGAAUUAAGCUGAUGAGCCAUACAAUGAAGCUAUGGGAGAGAGUCAUUGAGCACCGCUUAAUAAGAAUGACAAGCGUGACCAAAAAUCAGUUUGGUUUCAUGCCUGGGAGGUCGACCAUGGAAGCCAUUUUCUUGGUACGACAACUUAUGGAGAGAUAUAGGGAGCAUAAGAAGGACUUGCAUAUGGUGUUCAUUGACUUGGAGAAGGCCUAUGAUAAGAUACCGCGGAAUGUCAUGUGGUGGGCCUUGGAGAAACACAAAGUCCCAGCAAAGUACAUUACCCUCAUCAAGGACAUGUACAAUAAUGUUGUGACAAGUGUUCGAACAAGUGAUGUCGACACCGAUGACUUCCCGAUUAAGAUAGGACUGCAUCAGGGGUCAGCUUUGAGCCCUUAUCUUUUUGCAUUGGUGAUGGAUGAGGUCACAAGGGGUAUACAAGGAGAUAUCCCAUGGUGUAUGCUCUUUGCGGAUGAUGUGGUGCUAGUUGACGAUAGUCGGACGGGGGUAAAUAGGAAGUUAGAGUUAUGGAGAGAAACCUUGGAAUCGAAAGGGUUUAGGCUUAGUAGAACUAAAACCGAGUACAUGAUGUGCGGUUUCCGUACUACUAGCUAUGAGGAGGAGGAGGUUAGCCUUGAUGGCCAGGUGGUACCUCGGAAGGACACCUUUCGGUAUUUGGGGUCAAUGUUGCAGGAGGAUGGGGGUAUUGAUGAAGAUGUGAACCAUCGAAUCAAAGCCGGAUGGAUGAAGUGGCGCCAAGCUUCUGGCAUUCUCUGUGACAAGAGAGUGCCACAAAAGCUAAAAGUU
rnacentral:rRNA from 1 species